rnacentral:rRNA from 1 species
UGGCGGCAGUAGCGCGGUGGUCCCACCUGACCCCAUGCCGAACUCAGAAGUGAAACGCCGUAGCGCCGAUGGUAGUGUGGGGUCUCCCUAUGCGAGAGUAGGGAACUGCCAGACA